GAUGAACGCUAGCGGCAGGCCUAACACAUGCAAGUCGAGGGGCAGCACGUCUUCGGAUGGUGGCGACCGGCGCACGGGUGCGUAACGCGUAUGCAACCUACCUCUUACAGUGGGAUAGCCCAGAGAAAUUUGGAUUAAUACCGCAUAGUAUACAGAUUCAGCAUUGGGACUGUAUUAAACAUUUAUGGGUAAGAGAUGGGCAUGCGUUCUAUUAGUUAGUUGGAGUGGUAACGGCACCCCAAGACAGCGAUAGAUAGGGCCCUGAGAGGGGGAUCCCCACACUGGUACCGAGACACGGACCAGACUCCUACGGGAGGCAGCAGUGAGGAAUAUUGGACAAUGGGGGCAACCCUGAUCCAGCCAUGCCGCGUGAGUGAAGAAGGCCUCGG
rnacentral:rRNA from 1 species